rnacentral:rRNA from 1 species
AGAGUUUGAUCAUGGCUCAGAAUCAACGCUGGCGGCGUGCCUAACACAUGCAAGUCGAGCGAGAAAGUGGUAGCAAUACCAUGAGUACAGCGGCGCACGGGUGAGUAACACGUGACUAACCUACCCUCGAGUGGGGAAUAACUUCGGGAAACCGAGGCUAAUACCGCAUAAUACCCACGGGUCAAAGGAGCAAUUCGCUUGAGGAGGGGGUCGCGGCCGAUUAGUUAGUUGGCGGGGUAAUGGCCCACCAAGACGAUGAUCGGUAUCCGGCCUGAGAGGGCGCACGGACACACUGGAACUGAAACACGGUCCAGACUCCUACGGGAGGCAGCAGUGGGGAAUUUUGCGCAAUGGGGGAAACCCUGACGCAGCAACGCCGCGUGGAGGAUGAAGUCCUUCGGGACGUAAACUCCUUUCGAUCGGGACGAUUAUGACGGUACCGGAAGAAGAAGCCCCGGCUAACUUCGUGCCAGCAGCCGCGGUAAUACGAGGGGGGCGAGCGUUGUUCGGAAUUAUUGGGCGUAAAGGGUGCGUAGGCGGUUUGGUAAGUCUCGUGUGAAAUCUCUGGGCUCAACUCAGAGUCUGCACGAGAAACUGCCGGGCUUGAGUGUGGGAGAGGUGAGUGGAAUUUCCGGUGUAGCGGUGAAAUGCGUAGAUAUCGGAAGGAACACCUGUGGCGAAAGCGGCUCACUGGACCACAACUGACGCUGAUGCACGAAAGCUAGGGGAGCAAACAGGAUUAGAUACCCUAGUAGUCC